rnacentral:rRNA from 1 species
UGGGGAAUAUUGGACAAUGGGGGCAACCCUGAUCCAGCCAUGCCGCGUGCGUGAAGAAGGCCUUAGGGUUGUAAAGCGCUUUCACUGGUGAAGAUGAUGACGGUACCCAGUAAAGAAGUCCCGGCUAACUCCGUGCCAGCAGCCGCGGUAAUACGGAGGGGACUAGCGUUGUUCGGAAUUACUGGGCGUAAAGCGCGCGUAGGCGGACUAUUAAGUCAGGGGUGAAAUCCCGGGGCUCAACCCCGGAACUGCCUUUGAUACUGGUAGUCUUGAGUUCGAGAGAGGUGAGUGGAAUUCCGAGUGUAGAGGUGAAAUUCGUAGAUAUUCGGAGGAACACCAGUGGCGAAGGCGGCUCACUGGCUCGAUACUGACGCUGAGGUGCGAAAGUGUGGGGAGCAAACAGGAUUAGAUACCCGUGUAGUCC